UACGAAGGGGGCUAGCGUUGCUCGGAAUCACUGGGCGUAAAGGGCGCGUAGGCGGCGUUUUAAGUCAGGGGUGAAAGCCUGUGGCUCAACCACAGAAUGGCCUCGAUACUGGGACGCUUGAGUAUGGUAGAGGUUGGUGGAACUGCGAGUGUAGAGGUGAAAUUCGUAGAUAUUCGCAAGAACACCAGUGGCGAAGGCGGCUCACUGGCCCGAUACUGACGCUGAGGCACGAAAGCGUGGGGAGCAACAGGG
rnacentral:rRNA from 1 species